GACAGAGGGUGCAACCGUUGUUCGGAAUUACUGGGCAUAAAGGGUCUGUAGGUGGCUUGCUAAGUCAGACGUGAAAUCCCUCAGCUUAACUGGGGAACUGCGUCUGAUACUGGCAAGCUUGAGUGCAGGAGAGGAACGCGGAAUUCCAGGUGUGGCGGUGAAAUGCGUAGAUAUCUGGAGGAACACCGGUGGCGAAGGCGGCGUUCUGGACUGCAACUGACACUGAGAGACGAAAGCCAGGGGAGCAAACGGG
rnacentral:rRNA from 1 species